rnacentral:rRNA from 1 species
UCGACGAGCGAGAGAGAGCUUGCUUUCUCGAGCGAGUGGCGAACGGGUGAGUAACGCGUGAGGAACCUGCCUCAAAGAGGGGGACAACAGUUGGAAACGACUGCUAAUACCGCAUAAGCCCACGGUGCCGCAUGGCACAGAGGGAAAAGGAGUAAUCCGCUUUGAGAUGGCCUCGCGUCCGAUUAGCUAGUUGGUGAGGUAACGGCCCACCAAGGCGACGAUCGGUAGCCGGACUGAGAGGUUGAACGGCCACAUUGGGACUGAGACACGGCCCAGACUCCUACGGGAGGCAGCAGUGGGGAAUAUUGCACAAUGGGGGAAACCCUGAUGCAGCGACGCCGCGUGGAGGAAGAAGGUCUUCGGAUUGUAAACUCCUGUUGUUGGGGAAGAUAAUGACGGUACCCAACAAGGAAGUGACGGCUAACUACGUGCCAGCAGCCGCGGUAAAACGUAGGUCACAAGCGUUGUCCGGAAUUACUGGGUGUAAAGGGAGCGCAGGCGGGAAGACAAGUUGGAAGUGAAAUCUAUGGGCUCAACCCAUAAACUGCUUUCAAAACUGUUUUUCUUGAGUAGUGCAGAGGUAGGCGGAAUUCCCGGUGUAGCGGUGGAAUGCGUAGAUAUCGGGAGGAACACCAGUGGCGAAGGCGGCCUACUGGGCACCAACUGACGCUGAGGCUCGAAAGUGUGGGUAGCAAACAGGAUUAGAUACCCUGGUAGUCCACACCGUAAACGAUGAUUACUAGGUGUU